GGUUCGAUGGCGUAGUUGGUUAUCGCAUCUGUCUAACACACAGAAGGUCCCCGGUUCGAACCCGGGCCGAACCA